rnacentral:rRNA from 1 species
GACGAACGCUGGCGGCGUGCUUAACACAUGCAAGUCGAACGGUGAAGCGCCUUCCUUUUUGGUGGGUGUGGAUGAGUGGCGAGCGGGUGAGUAACACGUGAGUAACCUGCCCCCUUCUUCUGGAUAACCGCAUGAAAGCGUGGCUAAUACGGGAUAUUCUGGGUCUGUCGCAUGAUGGGUCUGGGAAAGAUAUUGUUUCGGUGGGGGAUGGGCUCGCGGCCUAUCAGCUUGUUGGUGGGGUGAUGGCCUACCAAGGCGGUGACGGGUAGCCGGCCUGAGAGGGUGGACGGUCACACUGGGACUGAGACACGGACCAGACUCCUACGGGAGGCAGCAGUGGGGAAUAUUGCACAAUGGGCGCAAGCCUGAUGCAGCGACGCCGCGUGAGGGAUGGAGGCCUUCGGGUUGUGAACCUCUUUCGCCAGUGAAGCAGGCCUGCCUCGUUUGUGGGUGGGUUGACGGUAGCUGGAGAAGAAGCGCCGGCUAACUACGUG